rnacentral:rRNA from 1 species
ACUGCGACGUUCACUGACUGGAGUUUUGUGGUCCUCUGGCGGGCGCUGGCCAGCCCCCGAAGGGGGGCCGGUGCGGAGGACCGCGGCCCGCCAAAGCAACAGAGGUAGGUACACAUAGGGUGGGAGAGUCGAGCCGGAGCUCGAAUCAACUCGGUAAUGAUCCUUCCGUAGGGUGAACCUGCGGAAGGAUCAUUA